rnacentral:rRNA from 1 species
CAAUGCGAGCAAUCGUGAUAAGGGAACUCCGAGUGCCUGUAAAAUCAGGCUGUCCGCCAGUGUAAAUAACUGGUGAAGAAAGGGCCGGGCAAGACCGGUGCCAGCCGCCGCGGUAAUACCGGCGGCUCGAGUGGUGGCCACUAUUACUGGGCUUAAAGCGUUCGUAGCUGGUCUGUUAAGUCUCUGGGGAAAUCUUCCGGCUUAACCGGAAGGCGUCUCAGGGAUACUGGCAGACUAGGGACCGGAAGAGGUGAGAGGUACUCCAGGGGUAGGAGUGAAAUCCUGUAAUCCUUGGGGGACCACCUGUGGCGAAGGCGUCUCACCAGGACGGCUCCGACAGUGAGGAACGAAAGCUGGGG